GACGUAGGGCGCGAGCGUUGUCCGGAUUUAUUGGGCGUAAAGAGCUCGUAGGCGGCUCAUUGCGUCAACCGUGAAAACCAGCAGCUCAACUGUUGGCUUGCGGUUGAUACCGGUGGGCUGGAGUUCGGUAGGGGAGACUGGAAUUCCUGGUGUAGCGGUGAAAUGCGCAGAUAUCAGGAGGAACACCGGUGGCGAAGGCGGGUCUCUGGGCCGAUACUGACGCUGAGGAGCGAAAGCGUGGGGAGCGAACAGG
rnacentral:rRNA from 1 species